CCUACGGGAGGCAGCAGUGGGGAAUAUUGCACAAUGGGGGAAACCCUGAUGCAGCGACGCCGCGUGAGGGAAGAAGGCCUUCGGAUCGUAAGCCUCUAUCAGCAGGGAAGAAGAAAGUGACAGUACCUGACGAAGACGCCCCGGCUAACUACGUGACCGCAGCCGCGGAAAUACGUAGGGGGCAAGUGUUAUCCGGAAUCACGGGGUGGAAAGGGCGCGUAGGGGGGAGUGCAAGUCAGAUGUGAAAGGCCGGGGGUCAACCCUGUGACUGCAUUUGAAACUGUCUUGCUUGAGUGCAGGAGAGGAGAGCGGAAUUCCUAGUGUAGCGGUGAGAUGCGUAGAUAUUAGGAAGAACACCAGUGGCGAAGGCGGCUUUCUGGACUGUAACUGACGCUGAGGCACGAAAGCGUGGGGAGCGAACAGGAUUAGAUACCCUGGUAGUC
rnacentral:rRNA from 1 species